GGGCCUCUAGCUCAAUUGGUAGAGCAGCGGACUCUUAAUCCGCGGGUUCAGGGUUCGAGUCCCUGGAGGCUCAUCA
rnacentral:tRNA from 1 species